UACGGAGGGUGCAAGCGUUGCUCGGAAUUAUUGGGCGUAAAGGGUAGGUAGGUGGUCUCAUUUGUCUGGGGUGAAAUCCUUGAGCUUAACUCAAGAAGUGCCCCAGAAACGGUGAGACUGGAGUCCUGGAGAGGUGAGCGGAAUUCCCGGUGUAGCGGUGAAAUGCGUAGAGAUCGGGAGGAACACCAGAGGCGAAGGCGGCUCACUGGACAGGCACUGACACUCAACGUACGAAAGCGUGGGGGAGCAAAGCAGG
rnacentral:rRNA from 1 species